GACGAACGCUGGCGGCGUGCUUAACACAUGCAAGUCGAACGGAAAGGCCCUGCUUUUGUGGGGUGCUCGAUUGGCGAACGGGUGAGUAACACGUGAGUAACAUGCCCUUGACUUUGGGAUAACUUCAGGAAACUGGGGCUAAUACCGGAUAGGAGCUCCUGCUGCAUGGUGGGCGUUGGAAAGUUUCGGCGGUUGGGGAUGGACUCGCGGCUUAUCAGCUUGUUGGUGGGGUAGUGGCUUACCAAGGCUUUGACGGGUAGCCGGCCUGAGAGGGUGGCCGGCGACAUUGGGACUGAGAGACGGCGCAGACUCCAACGGGAGGCAGCAGGGGGGAGUAUUGCGCAAUGGGCGGAAGCCUGAUGCAGAGACGCCGCGUGCGGAAUGACGGCCUUCGGGGUAUGAACCGCUUUCGCCUGUGACGAAGCGUGAGUGACGGUAAUGAGUAAAGAAGCACCGGCUAACUACGUG
rnacentral:rRNA from 1 species